rnacentral:rRNA from 1 species
UACGGGGGGGGCAAGCGUUGUUCGGAAUUACUGGGCGUAAAGGGCUCGUAGGCGGCCAACUAAGUCAUACGUGAAAUCCCUCGGCUUAACCGGGGAACUGCGUCUGAUACUGGAUGGCUUGAGAUUGGGAGAGGGAUGCGGAAUUCCAGGUGUAGCGGUGAAAUGCGUAGAUAUCUGGAGGAACACCGGUGGCGAAGGCGGCCCCCUGGUUGGAUACUGACGCUGAGACGCGAAAGCGUGGGGAGCAAACAGG